CUUUUCAGCACCAUCCCUGAGCUCAUUAACUACCAUCAGCACAACUCUGCAGGCCUCAUAUCCAGGCUCAAAUAUCCAGUGUCUCAACAAAAUAAGAAUGCACCUUCCACUGCAGGCCUGGGAUACGGAUCAUGGGAAAUUGAUCCAAAGGACCUGACCUUCUUGAAGGAGCUGGGGACUGGACAAUUUGGGGUAGUGAAGUAUGGGAAAUGGAGAGGCCAGUAUGAUGUGGCCAUCAAGAUGAUCAAAGAAGGCUCCAUGUCUGAAGAUGAAUUCAUUGAAGAAGCCAAAGUCAUGAUGUGAGUUAUAGCCCAAACUCAACUCUCAAUCUAUUUGCUGGAGUCUAGGAAUUCACACAACAACCCACUGAGGCUUAAAGAUGACUUACAGUAAGAGAGGUUUGGGACGAGGGACUGAAGUUUAUCUUUAACUGGCAGUAGUCCUAAGUGCUAAGAUAAUAGUUUCUGGGCCUUAGAUAUUGGUUGAGAAUAGUGGUGAUCAUGGGUGUGUACCAUCUCAGUAGCAUUUGGGGGUAGAUGUAGAAAAUUAAACUUUCAAAAGAAAGAUUCUAA
rnacentral:sRNA from 1 species